UGUCAGUAGGCUGGGUGCAGCAAGACCAUGAACCCUCUCCAGGAGGGAAGGAAAACAAGCACAAGGGAUGGACUGGGGAAAGGAAUAGCCAGACCCUGUGCUACUAUUAAGGAUUUGCCUUGCCCAAACCUGCAUCUCCAAGGCUAAAAAGGACUGGGCCUGCUGAGGAGAGGAAGGUACUUUGCCACAAGAUGAUGACUUGUUAUACAAUAUAUCUUCACCUACUAUCAUCGGUGAUACCCAUUUUACAGAUGAAAAAUCAAGUCACAGAGAGACUAAAUAACUUGGCCCUGGUCACUCAGGAAGUCUAUGAUGGAGCAGGAAACUGAAUCCAGGUUUCCCAAGUCCCAGCCUAGUAUCCAGACCAUUGAACCAUCCUUUCUUUGGACCCUGGUCUUUUAAUGAUUCCUGAAUAAAUGAAUUAAUAGCAGAGAUGUGUGCUGGCAAAGGACAGCUCUUGGGAUCAAGAAAAUGUGUUGAGGAUGGGAAACAGCAACUCACUGAAAACAAUGAACAUCCCUGUGAUUUCUAUACAAUCUGUUUUCUUCUCAAAUUAGUGAGAUAUAAUCUGUGCAUGCGUGCGUUUGAGUGUAUGUAUACACUUAUCCUGAAGGUAGUAGGGAGUCAUCACCCAGCAACUUAAAGUAAGGCCUGGGAGUCAGUGAACAUUUGUCGGGCACACUUAAACAUUCUCUCUUUUAUGUGACUCUUCCACUAUCUGUGCAGGGUAAUGAACAGUGCAUUGGGACAGGGACUCUCUUAGUCAAAAUAAGGCACUGCUCUUAUAAUUACGUGAAUUUAAUCUCUAGCUACAUGUGUUAGUUACAGGUGAAGCUCAAUGAUUUUGGAAAUUCAAACCUUUUAAGAUGAUCUCACAGACCCAAUUCUCUCUAGCUAUCCCUGCCUCUUUCCUACCUGUACUUCAUGGUCCUCUCUUUACCAACAACAAAAGGUGGUACUGUGGGACAUAACUGACUUUUAGAAGACCCGGAGUGAAGAAAGUGGUACACCAGAGCACAGCAAGGAGAGACCAAUCGGAGUGUCUGUGGGAAGGAGUUUGGAGAUUGGUGAGAGGAUGGUUGGCUUUAGCCUUUACCUUAUUUGUCAAGAAGCAGUUCACCCUUCCCUACCUUUUACAGUGCCUGCCCUCACUUUCACAAAUAUUUAUGGCUUUUAUCUAUGUCAACUGAAUGCCAACUCCCUGUUGAUAAACUGAUGGAGCAUGAUGGUUGCCUGCACUGAAGGAUAUCAGUUAGGGCACUUAGGCAGAUUACUAUUAAAUGGCUACAUUUUACUGUUGCAUGUAGUGUAGUUGUAGCUAGGUCAG